rnacentral:misc_RNA from 1 species
UCCGGCUUAACGCCGGCAGUCCCCCCAGAGUCCCCGGCCGAACCGCUGGCAACUGGGAGCGAGGGUUGCGCUCGUUGCGGGACUUAACCCAACAUCUCACGACACGAGCUGACGACAGCCAUGCAGCACCUGUGCUGGCGCUCCGAAGAGGGGACCUCGUUUCUGAGGUCUUUCCCCGAGAUGUCAAGCCCAGGUAAGGUUCUUCGCGUUGCGUCGAAUUAAACCACAUGCUCCACCGCUUGUGUAGAUUCCCGUCAAUUCCUUUGAGUUUUAGCCUUGCGGCCGUACUUCCCAGGCGGGUUACUUAACGCGUUAGCUUAGGCUCGUACGGGGUCGAGACCGCACAAACCGAGUAACCAUCGUUUACGGCGUGGACUAC